rnacentral:rRNA from 1 species
CCUACGGGUGGCAGCAGUGAGGAAUAUUGGUCAAUGGACGAGAGUCUGAACCAGCCAAGUAGCGUGAAGGAUGACUGCCCUAUGGGUUGUAAACUUCUUUUAUAUGGGAAUAAAAUGUUCCACGUGUGGGAGUUUGUAUGUACCAUAUGAAUAAGGAUCGGCAAACUCCGUGCCAGCAGCCGCGGUAAUACGGAGGAUCCGAGCGUUAUCCGGAUUUUUGGGGUUUAAAGGGAGCGUAGGUGGAUUGUUAAGUCAGUUGUGAAAGUUUGCGGCUCAAGGGGAAAAUUGCAGUUGAAACUGGCAGUCUUGAGUACAGUAGAGGUGGGCGGAAUUCGUGGUGUAGCGGUGAAAUGCUUAGAUAUCACGAAGAACUCCGAUUGCGAAGGCAGCUCACGGGACUGCAACUGACACUGAGGCUCGAAAGUGUGGGUAUCAAACAGGAUUAGAUACCCUUGUAGUC